rnacentral:lncRNA from 10 species
UGAGCAUGGCAGCCACAUUUCCAUCAAUUCCAGACAAAGCCAAACACAACCCUCCAGAGGUGGAGUGGUGUCAGGACCCCCAUCCUAGUGAAAAUUCUAGGAUUACUUAAUUUAACAUAACAUGACUUUAAGAUUUCAAAUCAAUAGAGAAAAUUAAAUUUACCAAAUUAAACUUACCAAAGAUGACCAAAGUCAUGUGAACUGAAAAGCCUCUGAACCUCAGCAAAUUGUCCCAUUGGUUUGAGCAAUAAAGAUAGCCCAAGCCAGUACCAAGCACCCACAGGAGAUUCAUCAAAGGUCAGGGGCACCUCCACUCAGAGUCUCUUCAGUUGGUCGCCAAUUUGUAAACCAAAAGGUAUCUGAGACAGGUCUCAAUUGAUUUAAAAGUUUAUUUUGCCAAGGUUAAGGACAUGACUAGAAAUUGAAAAAACAAACACACACAUGCACACACACACACACACACACAGAAAAAGCUUGUGGUCCCAAGAAGAUUUUGUGGGCUUCAAUACUUAAAGGGGAAAAGAUGGCUGGAAGGGAAAGAGGGAGGGUAUGGUCAUCCACAUGUCUACGCUGUGCCGCUUGGGCUGGAAGGCAUAGGAUUAAGCAACUUCUCUUGCAUCUCUGUUCCUACAUUUCAUUGUGUUAAUUUUUUUCCUUCCCAAUCAAUAAUCCUGGCUGGAAGGCAUAGGAUUAAGCAACUUCUCUUGCAUUUCUGUUCCUACAUUUCAUUGUGUUAAUUUUUUUCCUUCCCAAUCAAUAAUCUUAAUUCAAUUACUUUAAAAAUGUUUCUAAGUCUUAAGAAAAGGAGCAGGUAGGGGAUAGUCAAUCAUGAGUUUGUCUCACACUCAGUAAAUAGGCAUUUAUAU